UGUUGUUAUUUUAGGACGCCUUCGGUCAUUCAAUGAAAUUGCCAUUCCAGGGGAAGUAGAGCUACGUGUUUAACUUUCUCGUCAUUUUGUUUGACGUAUAUACAAGCGUCUCUAUCGCAAAGAAUCGUUGCAUUCAAGAAAAAAUAGGUUGCCGAUCUGUUCAACAUGUCAAGAAAGAAAAACAAGUGGCUUGGCGAUAACGUCAGAAACUGGCGAGCAAAGAGAACGAAGUUAUAUCGACGAUUGAAUCUAGAUUCCUUUCCAUGUUGCGUCGAUGGUGAAUAUCGUCUGGACUGUUUCUUUGCUCUCGAUUUUUCCAGUGCAAGAAGACGGGUAGUUCAAAUGCAGGUCUGCUCGAACAAUAACAUCAAAAAGCAGUAAGUGUUUUUAGUCGAUCAAGAGUGUUAUCAUAUCAAGCAGCCGUGACAAGAUUAUCAGUGCUGGAUUAUCGGUGAAAAAGCAGAUCUUAUUUUUAUCUCAGUCAUUUGGAGCCGUUGUCUCAUGGAUGUAUCAGUUGACAUCGAACGACGUCUAGCAAAUUUGUUUGUCCAAGUCACGAGACUGAUAAAAAGAGAGAAGCAUGACAUGUUUUUUUUUAAAGCAGCUAUUAAAAGAAAAUAAUAAGCCCCACAAAAUUGCAAAUAUGCGUACAAUUGGCUAUGGUUUAACAAGAGGGACAAUCGAAAUAGCCAAAUGAUUCACUCGCCACGUCUUUUAUUUUGAAAUAGAUUGUGAACGAACCUGGUUAAUAACAUUGUAAUAAAAGAAUUGCCUGUCA